CAGUAGCCACGGGAAUACAGAGGAUGCAAGCGUUAUCCGGAAUGAUUGGGCGUAAAGCGUCUGUAGGUGGCUUUUCAAGUCCGCCGUCAAAUCCCAGGGCUCAACCCUGGACAGGCGGUGGAAACUACCAAGCUAGAGUACGGUAGGGGCAGAGAGAAUUUCCGGUGAAGCGGUGAAAUGCGUUGAGAUCGAAAAGAACACCAACGACGAAAGCACUCUGCUGGGUCGACACUGACACUGAGAGACGAAAGCUAGGGGAGCAAAUGGGAUUAGAUACCCCGGUAGUCCCUGUCUCUUAUAC
rnacentral:rRNA from 1 species